rnacentral:lncRNA from 7 species
UCUAGGCGCCACAAUAUUACCUAUCAGGGCAGCAUAGCAGAGCUGAAAUCUCUGUGAAGAAGAGGAUUUACCCUAAGGAGAAGAGAAAAUGGAGUCAGAAGUCAGAGUGAAGGAAAGCAUUGAAAUGACAACAGAAAACAGUAACUUUCAUCAAAUUGCUUUUGCAUCUGGCGCCUGUCUUCUACGUUGCCAAAUAUAUGCACUCCUGCAUGAUGGGGGUGCACGGAUCCAAGCUGCUAGACACUGGAGCAAGUUUCAUACAAGCGUGUCUGAGCUUCAGCAUUGUAUAGCAGAAGUUUUCUUCAGAAGGAGCCCAAGAAGAGUAUAUCCUCAACCUACACCUUUUUUUAGUUUGAAUUUCCUACGCUAUCUUUGAGAUGCCUUCAGCCAGAUGACUUCUCACUUCCACUAACCCUUUUUAUAGUUAAGUGACUGUAUGAGGUUUCACAGUACUACUCUAGAGGCUUACAAGUCAGUCUCAUGAGUUCGCCUACAGCUCCAGUUCUCUUGUAGCAAUCAUUUACUUCCAGAUUGGAAGAUCCAUACAAAAUGGAAAGUAUGUAUAGUAUGGAAAGUGGCUUGAGGAUGUGUUCAAUGACCAGCCUUCAAUAUAACUAAUCUUAUAAAAGGAAAUCUCAUCAGCAAGAUGUAUAAAAUGCUGGUGGGGAUUAACUACAAUAUCGAACCUAAGAAGAACUCAUAACUGUUGGAAGUAAUAACAACAGGGCUAUCGUUUGCAUAUUCUUUGCCAUACAACACACCAGUUGACAAACCCCCCUAAUAAAAGGCUCAGACCAAUUGGAGGAGAGGCAGUAACAAUCCAUACUGAUCUGACUGAAAUUUUUGUAAAUAGAUUAAGCAAUACAGGACACCAGAGAAAUGACUGAAAUAUUGCUAAAUGCCCCCUGAAAGUCAUUUAGCUUAGGCUCUGGUUGCAAACAAACUGGAUUAUGGAAGUGCUGUCAUCAAGAAAGAUUAUAUUAUGUUCAUACAGAUUUAUCAGGUGCAAUCAAGUCAAUCUCUAUUCAGGGAGAAACAAAGCACUCUGUUAAAAAUAAGUCCAUAUCAUAACAUUGUCCAGGGAAUAUUAUGGUUGAUAGUGAAUGUGAGCUGAAAAAAAUUCUCAGUCAUCUCUCUUAUUCACAGUAAAAAAAGAACGAACACUUUCUAAACAGUUGAGAUUCAUUGUUAGAUAGCAAGCCAUGAAAAUUGUAUGUCAGUAAGCAUUUUUUUCCCCCACGCAGAGUUUAGUUAAGAAAUGUAACAUACAGGGUAGUGUCUUUCUGCCAUAUAUUCAGUGCUUCUUGCUUAAGACAGGGAUCAACCUUCGCAUACGAUCCUGCAAAUAACACACAGCUGGAAAUCCAGAAAUGAAUGUAUGUCAUGCAACACCUAC